UAGGGAAUCUUCCACAAUGGACGAAAGUCUGAUGGAGCAACGCCGCGUGAGUGAAGAAGGGUUUCGGCUCGUAAAACUCUGUUGUUAAAGAAGAACGUAUCUGAGAGUAACUGUUCAGGUAUUGACGGUAUUUAACCAGAAAGCCACGGCUAACUACGUGCCAC
rnacentral:rRNA from 1 species